UACGAGUGCUUCGAGCGUUAUCCGGAAUCAUUGGGCGUAAAGGGUGCGUAGGUGGCGAUGUUAGUCUCCCGUAAAAUCUUUCGGCUCAACCGAGAGUCCGCGGGGGAAACGGCAUUGCUUGAGGACGAGAGAGGUUUCUGGAACUCAUAGUGUAGCGGUGAAAUGCGUUGAUAUUAUGGGGAACACCAAAAGCGAAGGCAAGAAACUGGCUCGCUCCUGACACUGAAGCACGAAAGCGUGGGUCGCGAAUGGG
rnacentral:rRNA from 1 species